rnacentral:tRNA from 2 species
CAGGACGUAGCUUAAGAUAUAUAAAGUACCUCCCUUACACUGAGAAGACGCCCGUGCAAGUCGGACCGCCCUGA